CACAAGCGGUGGAUGAUGUGGUUAAUUCGAUGCAACGACGAAAACCUUACCCACCUUUGACAUGGCAGGAAUCCUGAAGAGAUUUGGGAGUGCUCGAAAGAGAACCUGCACACAGGUGCUGCAUGGCUGUCGUCAGCUCGUGUCGUGAGAUGUUGGGUUAAGUCCCGCAACGAGCGCAACCCUUGCCAUUAGUUGCUACGAAAGGGCACUCUAAUGGGACUGCCGGUGACAAACCGGAGGAAGGUGGGGAUGACGUCAAGUCCUCAUGGCCCUUAUAGGUGGGGCUACACACGUCAUACAAUGGCCGGUACAGAGGGUUGCCAACCCGCGAGGGGGAGCUAAUCCCACAAAGCCGAUCGUAGUCCGGAUCACAGUCUGCAACUCGACUGCGUGAAGUCGGAAUCGCUAGUAAUCGUGGAUCAGCAUGUCACGGUGAAUACGUUCCCGGGUCUU
rnacentral:rRNA from 1 species